rnacentral:rRNA from 1 species
GACGAACGCUGGCGGCGUGCCUAAUACAUGCAAGUAAAACGCACAGUUUAUACCGUAGCUUGCUACACCAUAGACUGUGAGUUGCGAACGGGUGAGUAACGCGUAGGUAACCUGCCUGGUAGCGGGGGAUAACUAUUGGAAACGAUAGCUAAUACCGCAUAAUAUUGAUUAUUGCAUGAUAAUUGAUUGAAAGAUGCUAUUGCAUCACUACCAGAUGGACCUGCGUUGUAUUAGCUAGUAGGUGAGGUAACGGCUCACCUAGGCGACGAUACAUAGCCGACCUGAGAGGGUGAUCGGCCACACUGGGACUGAGACACGGCCCAGACUCCUACGGGAGGCAGCAGUAGGGAAUCUUCGGCAAUGGACGAAAGUCUGACCGAGCAACGCCGCGUGAGUGAAGAAGGUUUUCGGAUCGUAAAGCUCUGUUGUAAGAGAAGAACGGGUGUGAGAGUGGAAAGUUCACACUGUGACGGUAUCUUACCAGAAAGGGACGGCUAACUACGUG